CCUACGGGAGGCAGCAGUGAGGAAUAUUGGUCAAUGGACGAGAGUCUGAACCAGCCAAGUAGCGUGAAGGAUGACUGCCCUAUGGGUUGUAAACUUCGUUUAUAUGGGAAUAAAACGUUCCAUGUGUGGUAUUUUGUAUGUACCCUAUGAAUAAGGAUCGGCCAACGCCGUGCCAGCAGCUGCGGUACUACGGAGGAUCCGAGCGUUAUCCGGAUUUAUUGGGUGUAAAGGGAGCGUAGGUGGAUGGUUAAGGCAGUUGUGAAAGUUUGCGGCUCAACCGUAAAAUUGCAGUUGAAUCUGGCAGUCAUGAGUACAGUAGAGGUGGGCGGAAUUCGUGGUGUAGCGGUGAAAUGCUUAGAUAUCACGAAGAACUCCGAUUGCGAAGGCAGUUCACUGGACUGCAACUGACACUGAGGCUCGAAAGUGUGGGUAUCAAACAGGAGUAGAUACCCCUGUAGUC
rnacentral:rRNA from 1 species